ACCGGGAUCAUCGCGGGCCGCGCCGCGCCUCAGCGCGGCAGCCCCGGAACCCAACCUGCCCGGAACCUUUCUCCCACCGGCUCUGCUGCCCGGGCGGACGCUUCCGGCCGGCGCGUAGAGCGAGGGCAGUGGGUUUGUGGAAGCGGCUCCAGUGGUAGUGAUCAGGAGGUUGCACGGGAGAAUAAAAGUCGUUUGUGGUGGCAAGAUCAAAGCACAUUGUGGAAGCGCUUCAGUAACGAGAGAGUAACGGGGUUCCCUUUAACCGCUGACGUUCUGCCAGAAAUUAGCAGCGACCUGGUUGCACAACAGGAUCAUUCUGCGAGGCUGCCGGGGAGGAUGGCUUUUAAGCAGAUGCUUCCUGGGCCCAGAGUUUCCUUCCCAGGCCGUGGUCAAUGCUAAUUCUCCGGCCGUGUGCCUGUGUUGUGUCAGCUUGGCACGGAGCUCGUUUUCCCUCGGCAGCCUCACGGUACCUGGGAAGGUGUUGGGAACACACGGGGUGUGACACAGCAUCUGCCUGUCCCUGCCACAUUGUCCCCAUCCGUAGGCAAGAUCCUGCGAGAGGAUACAGCUGGGACAGCUGACCCAAAUUAACCAAAGGGAUAUUCCAUAUCUUGUGGCAAUAGACCCAAAAAAAAACCCAAAAAAACAAAACAAAGAAAAAAAAAAAAAAACAAAAAACAAACAAACAAAAAAAAAAACAAAACCUAAGCAAAGGAGGAGGAGGCAUUUGUUAUUUACAGUGUUUGACUUCCACAGCAAGCGAGAGAAAACAGCCCUGGGCAGCCUCUCAGCACUGGCAUUUGUGGGUGCACAGCAGGAACUGAUGCCAGUAUUGCAUGCUGGCUUUCACUUGUUCUGUUUGCUCAAUUCCUUUACCUUUCAUCUCAGCUUGGGGCUUAUCUGCCCCUUGCGUUUAGAUUUUCCAGCAUUCCAACAACCCCACGUUCUGAUGGAAGCUGUCUGUCUAUGUUGACUGAUGCCUUUUGAGAAGGUUGGAAAGAACUUCAUUUGGACAUAGAACCUGAAGAAUUGCAGGAAGUGUAUCCACCCCUGCAUGCAACCGAAUUUGAGUUUCUGCACUGACAUAGAUGACUUUGGGAUGUCCCCAGCAUCUAAAAGGACUUAGUAACAGAAUAUUGGGAUCUGAUAAUUGUUUUUUUUCUGAGCUGCUUCCCAGUCUAACAGAUUUAUUAAAUAAUUGAGAAAUUAUGCAAAUGUGGUUUAUUCUACACCUUACUGGUUGAAAACUCAAGUUGUUCCAUAGACCAGCAUGAGUUUAAUAUAAAUAUACAGACUAUAAACGAGUGGUGAUCUUCAGAAGCAGUGGAGCGGAAUUGUAUUCAGUUGAGAAACACAAGUACUUUUUCUCAACUGUAAACAGUUGAGAACACAAGUACUUUUCCUAGUGUCAUAUCCUCACUCAAAUAAAGCAAACUAAAACUGACGUGUUUAAAUAAACCAGCUGGUGACCAGGUUU